CCCUUAGAUGUUCUGGGCCGCACGCGCGCUACACUGAUGAAGUCAACAAGUAUAUAACCUUGGCUGGAAAGUCUGGGUAAUCUUUUGAAACUUUAUCGUGCUGGGGAUAGUCCAUUGCAAUUAUUGGACUUGAACGAGGAAUUCCUAGUAAGCGUGAGUCAUCAGCUCGCGUUGAUUACGUCCCUGCCCUUUGUACACACCGCCCGUCGCUACUACCGAUUGAAUGGCUUAGUGAGGCCCUCGGAUUAGCUGUUGGUCCAGCAAUGGAUGCAAUAGCCGAGAAGUUGGUCAAACUUGGUCAUUUAGAGGAAGUAAAAGUCGUAACA
rnacentral:rRNA from 1 species